AAAGGGGGACACACAGAAGGCCAGGAAGUGGACAGCCUGGGACUGUGACCCGCUGCCGUGGGCCACAAUACCGAGGGCUGUGGGUGCUACCGAAGGAGCAUUGCUCCAGGAACCUGGGGCCCGGCCCUGACCACGUGGACGUGCCUGGGGGGCUGCGGGUGCCUUCCGGGGUCAGGCCGCUGACGUCCGAGGUACGGAAAGGAGGCAGGCCGGCCAGGUGGGGCCGCGGCCCACUGAAGAGCAUGUGUCCCUGCUAAAGGGGACAGGCAUGGCUCAGCUCUAACGUGAGGUACACGGGCCCAAUGGGGCCAGACCUUCCGAUUAUUCUAGAAAACUGAGAAGCCCAGAAUUACGUGUAAAGUCUCAUGACUGUCCGGGCGCUUGGGUGGCUUGGUCGGAUGAGCGUCCCACUCUGGACUUCAGCUCGGGUUAUGACCCCGGGGUCGUGGGACGGGGCCCCCCUCGGCCCCUCCGCCGCUCGAACUCCAGCUCGCCCUCUCAAAAAACAUAAAAAUUAAGUCUCGGAAAAUAAUGAACUAAGUCUCAGGGCUGUUGAUCUGUGAGGGCCGGCUGCGGCCCGCCGGCCACCGCCUUGUCCCCUGCGAGGAACGGGCUAGAGAACGGCACGACCACGUGGGAGACCUUUCCGGAAGUUUCUUACGAAGUGAACAGACGCCUCCCUGUUCGGCCGCCCAGCAGCCGCACUCCCGGGUAUUUCUGUAGAGAGGCAAACGGACGGGCCGGGCCGGAAGCCGCGGACGCUGAGGCCCCGCUCGCCACGGCCCCAGGGCGCCCCGCGGGGCGAGGACACGCAGCGGCCGCCAUGCGGCGCGGGGAACGGGCUACGGGCGGGCGCCGCCACGCGCGAGCCGACGCGGAGGGCGGAAGAGGCAGAGAUAUUAAGUAUCGUGUGCAAGGCCACCCAAGGAAGCACUCACUCCCUGCAUCCUCACUUGUCUGCCUGCCGUGAACCACAUAGUCUUCCGGGGACUGGGGAGCCGGAAGUGAGCAAGACAGAUGGCCGCUUUCUCUGUGGAAGCCAGUGUUCACACACAAAAACUGUGAGUGUUCCUAGCAGCAUGAUUCACAGCAGCCAAAAAAUGGAAACGAUCCAACUGUCCAUCAACUGAUGCAGGAUACACAAAAUGUGGUCCAUCCGUACAAUGGAAUAUUGUUCGGCCAUAAAAGGAAUGGAGUACUAAUGUGUGGAUGAAACUUGGAAACCCCACGCUCAGGGAACUUUAUGCUAAGCCAGACACGGCAUGCACACCGUAUGACAUAGAGGGUUUUAUAAGAAGUGUCCAGAAUCGACAGAUCCAUAUAAAGUAGAUCUGUAGUUGCCUGGGGCUGGGCGGUUGGCGAGAAAACGGAUGAUGAUUGCUAUUGGGACAGAAGGAUGGAAAUGUCCUAAACUCGAGUAUGGCCACGAGGGCACCGCUAUGUGAAUAUACGAACAAGCGCUGGUGUGUCCGCUCUCAGUGGGUGACUUGUAUGGUGUGAAGUGUGUCUCAAUAAUGCUGUUUUAAGGAGAAAUAGAUGCUCCUGGAGUUGAGGACAGAUCAAUAAAGAGAAAAAUACGA